GUGAGGAAUAUUGCGCAAUGGAGGCAACUCUGACGCAGCCAUGCCGCGUGCAGGAAGAAGGCGCUACGCGUUGUAAACUGCUUUUAACCGGGAAGAAACCCCAGGACGUGUCCUGGGUUGACGGUACCGGAGGAAUAAGCACUGGCUAACUUCGUGCCAGCAGCCGCGGUAAUACGAAGGGUGCAAGCGUUAUCCGGAUUCAUUGGGUUUAAAGGGUGCGUAGGCGGAGCGUUAAGUCAGUGGUAAAAUCCUGCAGCUUAACUGUAGACUUGCCAUUGAUACUGGCGCUAUUUAGUGCGCUUGAAGUGGGCGGAAUGUGCCGUGUAGCGGUGAAAUGCUUAGAUAUGGCACAGAACACCAAUUGCGAAGGCAGCUCACUAAGGCGAUACUGACGCUGAGGCACGAAAGCGUGGGGAUCGAACAGGAUUAGAAACCCGAGUAGUCC
rnacentral:rRNA from 1 species